UCACCUCUGAUUAUCUAAACAUCUCUGUUGCUGACUUCUUCCUCGAAUGUAGGUUAAAAUGUCCAUGCUUGUUCUUCUGGUGUUGAUUAUAUUAUUAAUCAAGCUAAAUGAUGACUCCACUACAGGACCAUGGAAGAUGAGAGUGCUGCUUUCACCACUUAGUUGAGGUCUGGAGAACUCUGUUUUCAUCACGUGGUUCCACCACUCCACCAAGUUCUCUCCAUCCAGGUAGAGUGGCCAGACAGGUCCACAUUGUACUUGAUGAUUUACAUCACUCUUUCCUAGUAAGGUGUUUCAUCAUAAGGGCCAGUUCCUUGAGGCAAUCAACAGUCAGUGAGUCACCCCUUACAGAGGGAUCCAGUGAAGGCAGACUCUGAAGCGUUGGACUUUGUAAUGGGAAGCUUCUUCUGUAGGUAGAGAUCACUUUCUCAGGGAACACCUUUAGUAGCUGCAACACAGUGAGCUUCAUUAGAUUUUGGGCAAUGACAACAUCAUUAUGGCUUCAUACAGAUUGUUUUGGAUGUAAAUAGAACAAUGACUUGGUGUUUUAAGUGAGUUAAAUUAUAGUUCAAGGUUACAAGUACGGUGCUAAACAUUAGUGUGUUGUUAUCCAAAUGUUUAUGGAGCUUGCUGUAAACACAAUAAUGAAUCAUUUCUACAUGUAUGGCUAAAACAAUUACCACAAAGGAAACACACUAAAUUGUUUUUUUGCAGAGUACAAAGUGCUGGGUUAUUUUUGUAAACACAUUGUUGGGUUAAUUGUGCUGGGUCAAAAUUCUGGGUUGUUUGAGGUACUGUAAACACACAGUUGGGUUGAUCAUGCAGGGUCAAAUGGACUCCAGGGGUUCUUUCAGCACUGAACACGCGGGUUGUGUUAUUUUAACCCAACCGGUUUGUUUAUUAUUCCACUUCAUCAAACUUUUUGGAUUCUUCUAGUCUCCUCGUCAGGCGGUCACGCAAUUCUCAGCAAGCAGGAUUAUACGGUAAGUUAAUAUGAUUAUAUGAUUAUUUACCUUUAUUUUUUAAUAAGUUGUGUUUUAAAGCACAGUAAUUUCACUGUUUAAUCCAAUAUUUGGUAUGUUGCUGUGCGGAGUUAGCGUUUUAUUCUGUGAAUGAUUAACGAACGUUAAGUAGCAGCCUAUAGUGAGGUACUUUUUUGCCUCAACAAUCGCUUUAUCGUUAAAUAAAAGUGUGUGUGUGUGUGUGUGUGUGUGUGUGCAUGUGCAAAGUUUUAUUUAUAUACAGUACACAACCUUUUUUUUAUCAGUACUGUCCUUUUUUAACGCUUCAUGAAAACAGGCAUAGAAAUACGGGGUAAGUUCAGUUACUGUCUGCAUACUGUAUGGCUUUGUAAUGUUUUGUCAGAAUUAUGUCAUUUCGUACUAAAAUUGAUCUUUUAAGGGCAUAUUUUUUUCAAGUCAAUGUCUGCGACGUGCCGAAUCCAACGGUAGAUCCGUAAUUUUUAUGUUGUGCAUUUUCGCGCUUCUUUCUUCGCUCUUUUUUUGUAUUUGCAUUCGGGGCGUAUACCCACUUCUCCAGGCACCACGACACCACUGUUUAUGAGGUCCUUUUACUCUUCCUCUAUUUUAGUGAAUGCUUGUGUUACAUUACAAACUAGGAGACCAGUAUAAAAAUUAAAUGGGUAUGCCGUCUGAUUUUUUUUUUUUUUAACAGUGUAGGGCUUCAGAUUGGAGACUGAUAAAUGCAGUUCAGUGGUGAGAUGCUAGCUUGGGUUGCCUUCAGGUACCCUAUAAUAUAGAAUCGUGUCAUCACGUGUUUGACAAACGCUCCAGUGCAUACAGUAUUUGUGUUCUAACUCUGAAGCUCGCUAAAGUUUUACAACAAUUCAAUCAAACUGUUUUAAUUUGGCACUACUGCGCAAAACUUUGUGUUUUAUUUUUUUGUUUUUUUUAACGUUUACGAGAUCUCGCGAUAUUAAAAUGCUUAAGAAGCUUUCUCGCGAUAUCAGCAUAAUAGAACUGAUCUGUGUUUAAAUGAUUGCGCUUCAUCUAAACGCAUUAACCUGCUUUCUAUAUAAAAUAAGUCAUUGUAAAAACAGUUUUGUGAAAUUCUAAUUUUCUAAAUCUGAAAUUUCAUUCUAGAUAUGUGAGAUUCUUGCUGGUGAAGAUGGACAGCUUUGUAAUAGAGAAGUUGAAGGAAAGGCAGCUUGAUAGCUUGGUUAAAACCUUUGAAGAUUUCACAAGACUUCAGGAAGCUACAUCCAGAGGCAGACUUUUUGAAGACUGGGCUACAAUUGCAGACCAAAUUGUUGCCUAUGCUCAGCAAGAUGGAAAGGUGCAUUAAGAGCUGGGUGACAUGACUUCAGAUAAGUUUCACAGUUUGCACUGUAUUAUUCUUAUGGUUUAGAUGCUAAAAUGGAGAGUGCUUUCAAAGUCCUGCCCAUUCUAGAGGAAUGGUCCACAGAACCACAACCACAGAAUUCUGGAAGCCAUUCAUUGACAUACAACCUGUGGGGACCAGCAUGGUGGAUUUCUGUCUUAGGGACGAGACAACGACAUCCCAGACCUUCACCAUUGUUUCGGGUCAUGCCACUGAAGCGGACUCGUUGCCAGGGAAUUUCUCCGGCUUGCAGUAUAUUAUAUUGAUGGACAAGUCUUCAUGUGUGAAUUUUUUAAGGCCAACAGAUUUUCUGGCCACUUGUAACAUGUUUUAAAUUGUCAUAUGUUUGUCUGGUGGACACUUUGUUUGGCUUAGUUUUAAUAGCACAAUGUUUGGAAAGCAAUAAUAAUUUUACAUUCUUUUGUGACUAUUUAUUAUUAUUGGUAAAUAUAAAGGUAGCAAGGCAAUAAGACAACAAAUAACCCAAUGUUUAGGUUAUGUUUAACCCAGCAACACAGUUAACCUGACCCAGUGGUUGGGUGAAAUAAACAACCCAGCAUUCUAGGUCAAAUGGUUAAACCCAGCACUUGGGUCAAAACAACCCAACGCGUGUUCGGUCCCAUAGUUACCCAGCAGCUGGGUUAAGGUUGAGUUAUUUUUUAACCCAGCACUUUUUAGAGUGUACUAACUGCUUGUUUUGGAUCCUCAGUUCUGAUUUUAUCUGCUUCUUAUCCCGCAUUCUCUUGCAGGCAGCAUCUUGUCUGUUAAAUCAAGCUCUACAGUUCUUUGGGAUGCACAUUGCAUGUUCCGCUUUGAUGAAACAUGCCAUAAAGUGUGUGAACUAGGGGUGUGAUGAGACACUUAUCCCACAAGACGAGACAUGAGACUGAGUUCACGAAAACGAGACGAGACAAGAUUUUUAAACUUUUCUUAAGAAAUCCUUAAUAAUGAAAUAUAUAGGGAAAGUAGUCUUUUAUUCAACUGUAAAAGGAAAAAAUGCAAAAAAUGUAGUUGCAUUUUGAACUUUAUGAAAUUAAGCUUCCAUUUUAAUGAAAUAAUAUGCAGUAAUAAAAAACAUUUAAACAAGAGCUUCACGAUUCUGGAUAAAUUGAGAAUCCCAGUUGUUUUUAACCAAUUAGAGACCAUGAUUAUCUCACGAUUCUGGAGAAAAAAAAAAAAAUUGAAAACUAAACAAAUUAUCAUAAUUUACUAGUGGUUUUGACAAACUGAUAAUUGCUUAAGUCUUUAAAAAAAAACCAUAUAUUCAUUUAAACAAAAUAAUAAUAAUAAAGAAAACAUUCAGUGUGAAACAGUCCUAAUAGACAUAGCUAAAUCAUUGUCAUUCAGGAAUGUGAUCGCGUUGGUAUUUGAAUCGAGAUCUCUGUAUUUUAAGGAUUAAUCGUUCAGCUCCAAUUUAAACACUGCAAAAUGUUUUAUGAGGAUAUCGUCACGAGAUCUCCCAAGAUCCGACUGGUCUCACGAGACAAUUCGGAUCUCGCGAGAUCUCAUCACAUCCCCAAGUGUGAACACUUCAAGUUGCUCAUCGUGCAACUUGUGGAGUACAAUCUGGCUACCUUGUGCGAAAAAUAAUUUAUCUUAUUAGUUAAUUGAUGUCCAUUAUGCCUCUGAUCUACAGUACCCAAAAUGAGGAGGGCUAACUACAUUUGCAAUUCUUCUGUUACUAAGGAACCAUCACGUAUUCCUUCAGGAUGGCCAGCACACUCGUGUAGUAACUAAGUUGAUGUUUUGUAGUGGUGUUCUCAUGCCACACUUUUCUUAUAUCUCUCUUCUUCUGAUCCCUGCCUUGCUGUGUCAUGCCUGGGAAGAAAACUGACAGUCUUUUACGUAUUUUGUUGAGAUCAUCAUAAAAGGACUGAAUCCUUGUCUGUGCUUUCUCACUGACAGCCAGAUCUUUGUAAAGCUCCUCAUCACCUUUAUCCAUGAAGCCAAAAUACAACGCAGGAAGCAGCCUGUGUGUAUUGAGAGCCACAUCCUACUGAGAGCCAAUGGUGAGAAACAAAUCUUUGUGGGUUGGAGGCAGGGAUGCCCAUAAAGUUACAUAUUUCUUUGAGUGGUGACAUCACCCUCCAGGAAGUGACAUCAUUUUGGUGAGAAGACAACAGCACCAAUAUCUGAUAGGACAGAUCAGAACUGACAGGAAGUGAAGUGGGAGAGAGAUGGGGGCGGGAUCGGGAAAGGUCCUUGAGUCGGGAUUCGAACUCGGGACGCCUGUAGCGCAACGGCACGCUGACCACAAGGCUAUGGGUGCUGACAUUUGUGAUGGGCAGUUCAAGAUUGCUGUCGUUCAAGAAGUUAAUGACCACUGUUGCUGUUGUGAGCUACAAAUACCCAGAAGAGACGGCACUUACAUUGGAAUUCAUACAGAAGUAAGCAACACAAUUUUCCUGUGAAGAAAUCCUGAAUGUGGUUUGAGUUGUAGGCAACCAAGUGGCUGUGCAAUCCUCCAAGACUCUUGCAUGAACAUUUUCGAAAAUCCAUGUAAUAUUUGAGCUUUUUUAAAAUGUAAAAAAUGGCAUUUGUAUUAAACAUGCAGGUAAAUGGGAAAUAAUACAUCCCCUAUAAUGAAUUGCAUCACAUCACCCUAUAAUGAUAUUUCAGUUAUAAUGAACUUCAAUUCUGUUGUCAAGCCACUGGAGUCACAUACCCACAAAGUCUUAUGGGUUUGGAAUUGUAUGAGGGUGAGUAAUUGACAAAAUUCACAUUUCUGUGUGAACUAUCCCUCUAAACAAUAUUGUUUUCUCAUAUAAGAAAAAAGUUUUGAAUCUUGACUGUUUUACAGUUUGAAGUUUAAAUUUUGUGACCACAUUUUAGUGCAACACUAGUAUUGUACAGAUGCUCAUGUUUUCUUUUUUUUGUUUUUAUUCUGUCUGUUACUGUUUAAAGCUAAACUGUCUUUUACAAUACAGGCAUUUUUCAGUGUUUGACACAUUGUUAAAUGAAUUGAUUGAGUAUUUGAUAUUGUUUAGUCCUAACCCAUUUAAGGCAAACAAAAGCCAUUGAAUGCACUUCUAAGAAUGUUUACAUGAAGUAAAAAUAAACCAUGUUCAAUUUGUAUAUUGUGCUGGAUUUAGAGAGGGAGUAAAAUCUUUCCAUGCCUCGGGCAUAUGCCACUCCACAUGUUACCGCUACAUGCGCAUGGCACUGCACAUGUCACCGUUAUGUGCGCAAGGCACCGGCAGCUGCCACUCGACCUGCUUUUUGCUUUAUAUAUAUAUAUAUAUACAUAGAUAGAUAGAUAGAUAAAAAUACACCAUUAAAACAGAAAAAGUCAUGUUUUUUUUAUUGGUGGCAGACUGUAAAUUGGCAGACUGUAAAUUUACGGUACAAAGAGCUGCCAGUACUUUUUCAGUUUUUUUAUGGAAUUUUUUUAUUUAUUUUUUUACAGUGAGCAUGUCGCUUGUGGGCGUUUUUGAGCAUGUUGUGUUCUAAACUAAAAGUUCUAAAAGUUUUUAGGGUCGUGUGUAUGCACAUGCUGAGAGCUGCUCUCCACUGUGAAAGGAAUAAGGACUGACAUUGUUUGGGGUGUUGGCAAGAGUAAUUUGUAUGACAUCAUUCGAUGUUUACAAGUAAAACGUGAAGUUCUUCAUUUAACAGUAUUCUGUUCCCUUCACAUAAAUCAACAUCAAACAAUAUCAAAGAAUUAUUACUUUUGCUUACAAGUCAAUUUGAAUAAAAGUUCCAACUAAAUGUGUUAAAUAUAAAUAUGAAUGCAAAUGAUUUUGCAUUACAAAGAUAACAAACAUUGACCAUUACAUAUUGACAGCGUUCUGCCUCAGCUAAAUUUGGUAACAUAGCCAACAUAUGUUACUGUCAGUGUGUGGUUUGUCACUGUGUGCAUUUCUUAUCCAAUAAUGAAAGCCUAUAUUAGAUCUUGUCAUUCUUACUUCUCCUUCUUUUACACUUGAAGUGCAUGAAAGAGACUCUUUACGCUCCUUCACACAAAAUCACUGUUCUGGAAUUAUUUUCUCUCUUUCAAAACUAAAGGCUAAAUGCAUGUUGACAUGGGGCGGAAAUGGUCUGAGAACACUGCAUUCCUUAACUUCAAAACAGUACAGUAAGGCACUAAAUUCAUGGUCAUGGUUUUGAUUCCCAGGGAGCGCAAUGGGAAUAUGAAUCACUUUGGGUAAAAACAUCUGCCUGACAAAUGUGCAAUG